rnacentral:rRNA from 1 species
UACGAAGGGUGCAAGCGUUACUCGGAAUUACUGGGCGUAAAGCGUGCGUAGGUGGUUUUUUAAGUCCGUUGUGAAAGCCCUGGGCUCAACCUGGGAAUGGCAGUGGAUACUGGAAAGCUAGAGUGCGGUAGAGGGUAGUGGAAUUCCCGGUGUAGCAGUGAAAUGCGUAGAGAUCAUGAGGAAGACCAGUGGCGAAGGCGGGUCUCUGGACAGUUCCUGACACUGAGGCACGAAGGCCAGGGGAGCAAACGGG